UCCGAGUUGACCCCGGCAGUCUCCCACGAGUCCCCGGCAUAACCCGCUGGCAACAUGGGAUAAGGGUUGCGCUCGUUGCGGGACUUAACCCAACAUCUCACGACACGAGCUGACGACGGCCAUGCAGCACCUGUGUUACGGCUCUCUUUCGAGCACCCCCACCUUUCAGCAGGGUUCCGUACAUGUCAAGGGUAGGUAAGGUUUUUCGCGUUGCAUCGAAUUAAUCCACAUAAUCCACCGCUUGUGCGGGUCCCCGUCAAUUCCUUUGAGUUUUAAUCUUGCGACCGUACUCCCCAGGCGGUCAACUUCACGCGUUAGCUACGUUACCAAACCUAAUAAGGACCGACAACUAGUUGACAUAGUUUAGGGCGUGGACUAC
rnacentral:misc_RNA from 1 species